UCCAGACUCCUACGGGAGGCAGCAGUGGGGAAUAUUGCACAAUGGGGGGAAACCCUGAUGCAGCGACGCCGCGUGAGCGAAGAAGUACCUCGGUAUGUAAAGCUCUAUCAGCAGGGAAGAAGAUGACGGUACCUGACCAAGAAGCUCCGGCUAAAUACGUGCCAGCAGCCGCGGUAAUACGUAUGGAGCAAGCGUUAUCCGGAUUUACUGGGUGUAAAGGGAGCGCAGGCGGCCUUGCAAGUCUGAUGUGAAAGGCCGGGGCCCAACCCCGGGACUGCAUUGGAAACUGCGAGGCUGGAGUGUCGGAGAGGCAGGCGGAAUUCCUAGUGUAGCGGUGAAAUGCGUAGAUAUUAGGAGGAACACCAGUGGCGAAGGCGGCUUACUGGACGGCAACUGACGCUGAGGCUCGAAAGCGUGGGGAGCAAACAGGAUUAGAUACCCCAGUA
rnacentral:rRNA from 1 species